rnacentral:rRNA from 1 species
GAUGAACGCUGGCGGCGUGCCUAAUACAUGCAAGUCGAGCGAACGGACGAGAAGCUUGCUUCUCUGAUGUUAGCGGCGGACGGGUGAGUAACACGUGGAUAACCUACCUAUAAGACUGGGAUAACUUCGGGAAACCGGCGCUAAUACCGGAUAAUAUUUUGAACCGCAUGGUUCAAAAGUGAAAGACGGUCUUGCUGUCACUUAUAGAUGGAUCCGCGCUGCAUUAGCUAGUUGGUAAGGUAACGGCUUACCAAGGCAACGAUGCAUAGCCGACCUGAGAGGGUGAUCGGCCACACUGGAACUGAGACACGGUCCAGACUCCUACGGGAGGCAGCAGUAGGGAAUCGUCCGCAAUGGGCGAAAGCCUGACGGAGCAACGCCGCGUGAGUGAUGAAGGUCUUCGGAGCGUAAAACUCUGUUAUUAGGGAAGAACAUAUGUGUAAGUAACUGUGCACAGCUUGACGGUACCUAAUCAGAAAGCCACGGCUAACUACGUG